rnacentral:lncRNA from 1 species
GACAUACUCUCAGACCUAAGACCACAGGCUGCAGCCACUUCGCCUUCCAGUUGCUAGUCCGCGACUGCUUCAGUCCUUCAGCAGCUUAGUCUCGCCACCAAGCCACUUCCACCAAUCCAAGCGGCCAAGCUUGAGCCAGCUCUACCGCCACCGAGCCACCUGCACUGUGAUUCCUUCAAUCCUUUGCUACUGCUAGUUUUGCUACUCUGCUUGCCAGAAUCUCGGGUAAAAACGAAUGUCUUCGUACCCUUUAAUGAAUAGAAGGACUAAAUGAUUGAUUACCCAUAUUAUUUGAGACUUUGACUCUUUGUUUUUGAUCUUUUGUGUGAGUUUUGGACUUUGGUUGAUCUGAGAUUUCUAGUUUGUGGGUUGUUGACGGGUUUGAUUAUUUUAUCACUUUAUGAUGUUUGAUUGUUUGAUUUCACUGAUUUGGUUUACAUAAAUGAAUAGAUUACCAAAUGUUUCUUUCUAAUGCCUGCGUACGUAGAUGAAUCCAAUCAAAUAUUGAUUACAUAUAUAUAAAAACGGAGAUUUUGACAUAACAUACAAGUAUGUCAAUAUGUUAGGUUAAUAAUUGGGUUACUGAUUUCCAUCUUGCUUGUCAAUUGUCAUGUUUGGUAUGAUUCAGUUAGAUUUAUCAUUGUAA